rnacentral:tRNA from 1 species
GGUUCUGUGGUCUAGUGGUAUGAUUCUUGCUUUGGGAUCCACUCAAAGUUGCAAGAGGCCCCGGGUUCGAACCCCGGCAGAGCCC